rnacentral:rRNA from 1 species
UACGGAGGGUGCAAGCGUUGCUCGGAAUUAUUGGGCGUAAAGGGUAGGUAGGUGGUCUUAUUUGUCUGGGGUGAAAGCCUUGGGCUUAACCCAAGAAGUGCCUCAGAAACGGUAAGACUAGAGUCCUAGAGAGGGUCGUGGAAUUCCCGGUGUAGCGGUGAAAUGCGCAGAUAUCGGGAGGAACACCGGUGGCGAAGGCGGUUCUCUGGGCCGUACCUGACGCUGAGGAGCGAAAGCGUGGGGAGCGAACAGG